rnacentral:sRNA from 12 species
CGAACAGAUGGCUAGGGUUCCGAUGAUCGCUUGAUCAUGCUGGUCCGAGAGCUAUCGGCCUCUUGAGUAGAGGUUACACGGAGGGAUAAAAGCCCGGGAGGU